AAAAGUUUAGUUUAGGGUUUAAAACCCUAAUGUUGACUGAAGAAAAGAGUUCAGUUUAGGGUUUAAAACCCUAAUGUUGACUGAAGAAAAGAGUUCAGUUUAGGGUUUAAAACCCUAAUGCUGACUGAAGGGAAAAGUUCAGUUUAGGGUUUAAAACCCUAAUGCUGACUAAAAUGGAAAAAGUUCAGUUUAGGGUUUAAAACCCAAUGCUGACUGAAGGAAAAAGUUCAGUUUAGGGUUUAAAACCCUAAUGCUGACUGUAGGAAAAAGUUCAGUUUAGGGUUUAAAACCCUAAUGCUGACUGAAGGAAAAAGUUCAGUUUAGGGUUUAAAACCCUAAUGCUGACUGAAUGGGAAAAGUUCAGUUUAGGGUUUAAAACCCUAUUGCUGACUAAAGGAAAAGUUCAGUUUAGGGUUUAAAACCCUAAUGCUGACUAAAGGAAAAGUUCAAUUUAGGGUUUAAAACCCUAAUGUUGACUGAAUGGAAAAAGUUCAGUUUAGGGUUUAAAACCCUAAUGACUGACUGAAUGGGAAAAGUUCAGUUUAGGGUUUAAAACCCUAAUGAUGACUCAAUGGAAAAAGUUCAGUUUAGGGUUUAAAACCCUAAUGCUGACUAAAGGAAAGAGCUUAGUUUAGGGUUUAAAACCCUAGUACUGACAGAAUGGAAAAAGUUUAGUUUAGGGUUUAAAACCUUAAUGCUGACUAAAGGAAAGAGUUCAGUUUAGGGUUUAAAACCCUAAUGCUGACUAAAAGGAUAGUUCAGUUUAAGGUUUAAAACCCUAAUGCU
rnacentral:lncRNA from 1 species